AACCUUCUUAGGCUAAAUUCGAAUACCUUGGUUCCGUUUGUGAAGUCUGAUUGAUGAAAUUCUGUCAUUUGAACUUAGUUCCAUUAAGGUUCGCCACUUGAUUAUUACAGCAACCGAUGAUCCUACCGUUAGAUCGUCAUUAAAUUUUAAUAAAUUAUAGUACAUAAUAUUUAAGGAUAUUAGAAACUUACGGAUUGGGAAUUUGAUGUGCGAAUCUUACCAAAUUGGAUUUGUAAGUUCGUAAAAUAAAAUGUUAACCACUACUUAAAUUGGCAAUUGGAGGAGAUCCAACCGUUGGAUUGUAAUGAAACUUUAGUAUGAUGUCUUAGAAGCACAAUGUGGAUUUUUGGAAUUACGGAUCAGAAAUCUAAAAUGCGGAUCUUCUGGAUCGAGUUACGUAGGGUUGUGGACCCUACCAUCGAUCUUUGACUGACGAUUGACUUUUGGUUAAUGGGUCCUAAAUCAUUCUAGAACGUCUUUGGGGAUAUGUUUUAUGUAAGUUACAUAUUUAUUGAUAAGAACUCUGAGAUGUGACUUGAUAAUUGUUAUAGGCGACGAUGGUUCGUGAUGUCUCGAUUUUUGUGCUAAGGAGUCGUAGCACGGACCUCAGGUGAGUGGGUCUUUCCCUUUUAUCGUAUAUAGAUAUGACUGAUAAUUCCACAAAUGCUUUUAAAUUGUUCUAUGCAUUUUAUGCCAUGUUAUAUAUAUAUGUUAAAAUACUAUGGUAUGGUUGAGUUUUAGAUUGCAUUAUGGUAUAUCUAUAUGCAUAUUAUCGGCAUAUAAUUACUGUGAUUGGUUUGAAGUACUAAGUUGAACUACGAAUGGCUUGAUCCCGUUUAAGGUUACAUAGGCAGUCUAACACGACAGUUAGAUGCAGCCAUAAAUAAUCCAAAUUUAACAUGGUACUUGAUUUCCUUAAGGAAAGAAGUUAUUAUGGUUAAGUUCAGAUUAAAAACGUUAAGACGGUAAAGUGGUUAUGCCAAAUGACGUUGCAGAUGCCCAGGUAAGCUUCAGGUAGGUACAUAUUGAUGAUAGUGAUUUCAGUGUGUAUGGUUAUGUUUUUCUGCAUUUAACACUCAUUAUCAUGCACCUUGGUGUUAGUGCUCCGCCCGAGGAUAGGGUUUAGCCUUCAUGUGAUCAUAGCACUUGAGUAUAUUUAUUUACACCCAGCCUGUCGUACAAACCACAUUAAGUGGUUCUGACUCGUGUGCAGGAAUUAGUAGAUGAGCUAUAUAGGCAACUCCAACAUUGUGUGCUAGCAUUGAUUGAUGAGAUAUGGAUGAGUCGUACAGGUCACUAUAGGUGACUCCGACUUUUGUGCUAGCAUUGAUUGAUGAGAUAUGGAUGAGUCGUACAUGUCACUAUAGGUGACUCCGACUUCUAUGCUAGCAUUGAUUGAUGAGAUAUGGAUGAUUCAUAUAGAUCAUUAUAGGUGACUCCGACUUAUGUGCUAGCAUUGAUUUAUUGAGCACAUGAUUAUUUAUGAGAUGCUCUGUCGUGGUAUAUUUAUGGAUUUACUGUUGAUAUACUUUUGAUUUUACAUUGAUUCGUAGUAUGAUUUUUUUUUUUGGAAACUAUACAGGUGUCACAGCGAGGGGUUAUAACGAUUUAGAAGGUUUUUAUUAAAAUUUUAUUUCCAAUGCCACUCACCCUUGCUUUGUUUCCACCCUCCAGGUUUUUUUUUUUAGUUGAGCUUUCUUCUCAACAAGGAUUCGUGGCAAAUCUUGGUAUUGGAGAUUACCUUCGAUGGUAUGAUUCUCAAUCCACUCUACUGCACUUUACUUAUGCUCUGACAUCACGUGUGAAAUGGGUUCAUUUUCGCUCACAGCGCACUCUCGUAUUUAGGCACUUUUAGAUUUAAAUUUAUUCACAUUUUCCCACAUCACUACACUUUAUGGCUUCAUCACCCUCUUAGUGUCGGCCAGUACAACUCGAUUUGGAGUCCAGGUGGACUUUCCGAGUCGAGGUGUGUCAUCUUAUUAUUAGUCAAGCAGAAAAUAUAAAAUUAGAAAAUAAUAAGCAUAAUCAUUUGUUAAACCAGUUGUUAGAGCAUUUUCAGAAAAAUUCCAUAAAAACAAUUAGACAAAAUUUAGACUAUAUUACAUCUCAGUUAGAAGAUAAUAAUAAAAAUAUUCAAAAGUUUCCUAGCAAAAGAGAGAUAAAAGAGCUUGUUGACCUCAUACAUAGUAAGCCAAAGCAAGUAGAACUUAAAUCAUUAGAAGUAGUUGAGCAGUUAAAAUUAGAAGUCCAAAAAAUUCAAUUAGUGCAAAAAGAGCUAAGUGAACAAGUAGAUAAGUUGCAUAAUAAAAAAGAUAAAUUAUUAGUUUAAUUAUUAAUUUAAUGACCGAUUCUAGAACUAGCAGAAAAUAUAUCCAAGCCUUGAAAGAAAUUAGUAACUUAGAUAAAGAACCAAUAGGUUUAACAGAUUUUUCAGCACAAGUAUCCAGUAGUAAUAUUCCCAUUAGGCAAAAUAAUUUAAUUAUUCAAUUAGUUUUAAGUUUGGCUGAAAAAUUAGAUCAAGUUGAAUAACAAAUAGUAGAAAUAAAUCAAGUUUUAUAUAACGCAUCUUCAUCACUUCCACCAUUU
rnacentral:lncRNA from 1 species